rnacentral:tRNA from 1 species
UAGCUCAGUGGUAGAGCGCAUGCUUAGCAUGCACGAGGUCCUGGGUUCAGUCCCCAG